AAGUGUCCAUGCCCAGAGGAGAAUGUGGAGGCCAAGUGGGCACUUGUGGCCACAGAGGCUGGCAAGGCAGCUUUGGGUCUGGAGGCUGCUCUAGCAUCGUUACUGGUGGCUUCGAGAUCCCCCAGGGAUCUGGAUACAGCCCCACCAUGGGUUCCUGUUCCGUAUCUGGCUCAGGCUUCAGUUCUGGCUCUGGCUCCAGCUGCCGCACCAUCCUGAAGAAGACAGUGGAAUCAAGUCGGAAGAUGUCUGUCAUUUAUUGAGUGACCAGGCAGUCACAUCCCUUCUGAGCCCAGAAGCCUUGCUCUGAGCUCAUCCCCCAAUGUCCAAUGUCCACAGCCCGAGGCAGCCCACUGGGCACUGGAGAAAGUCAAUAAAGUCUGGCUUGCCUGCUGUCCCAAGUGGUCAGGGGCAGGUCCUGCUCUG
rnacentral:lncRNA from 1 species